rnacentral:rRNA from 1 species
UACGAAGGGGGCUAGCGUUGCUCGGAAUUACUGGGCGUAAAGGGCGCGUAGGCGGACAGUUUAGUCAGAGGUGAAAUCCUGGAGCUCAACUCCAGAACUGCCUUUGAUACUGGGGAUCUCGAGUCCGGAAGAGGUGAGUGGAACUCCGAGUGUAGAGGUGAAAUUCGUAGAUAUUCGGAAGAACACCAGUGGCGAAGGCGGCUCACUGGUCCGGUACUGACGCUGAGGUGCGAAAGCGUGGGGAGCAAACAGG